CACGUGGGAGAGUUGAAUAGAACUUUGAAGAGAGAGUUCAAAAAGGGCGUGAACCGCUUAGAAGAAAACGGACGGAGCCGUCUAAGUCCUUUGGGACUCAGUCGUACGAUUUCGCGAGGGUGCCUGAUGUUCGGAAUGGAGAGUCCGACUCGGGUGCUAGUAGUAGCAAUCGUUCGGCGCAUUUCCCGAAGGAGAGCACUGUGACCGAUACGCUGGCCAGUGGAGCGAUUUGAUCGAGGUGGAGUCCCGCGAGGGAUUCCAAACCAGUCUUUUCGCCCGACUCGCUGGACCGCAGUACCGGGUGCCUUCAUCAUACGUACCGGCGAAAACGCUCGUUGAGUGGUGGAUCGUUCGUCGAUCGGUUGGUUCUUGCUCGCAGGACCUAGUCGAUUUGGUGGACGUUUGAAACUACCGGCGACAUUCGGUAUUUAGGCGUCGACAGUGUCAGUGUCGGCCACCCAUCCGACCCGUCUUGAAACACGGACCAAGGAGUCUAACAUAUGCGCGAGCUAAUGGGUGGAAAACCCAUAAGCGCAAUAAACGUAAAGCCUGUUUCAGACAGGUAAGAUACGAUCCUAGAGUAUUCACAUGCUUUAGGCGCAGUAUCGUCCCAUCUAAACCGCAUAUCGGUUGGGUGGAGAUAGAGUGCAUACGUUGGGACCCGAAAGAUGGUGAACUAUGCCUGAGCAGAGCGAAGCCAGAGGAAACUCUGGUGGAGGUUCGUAGCGGUUCUGACGUGCAAAU
rnacentral:rRNA from 1 species